rnacentral:hammerhead_ribozyme from 1 species
AUAACAGCUGACGAAUCCCAAAUAGGGCGAAACGCACGUACUGUAU